rnacentral:lncRNA from 1 species
AAGUUAUGAUUUUUCCGAAGUUUCGACUUAGCAGUAUGCAGCCUGAAUCCUCGAUUUGAGAUCGAUUGAUUUUUAGCCGAAACAAUCUAAACGAGAAUCGAAGAUCUCGUUAAUAGUAGUGAAACGAUAAAAAGAUAGGCGAAAACGGACGUCAGAUGAAGAAGUUAUGAAUUUAUAACGGAGUUUUCCUGUCCCGGCCUACUAAAAAUAAUAUAAAAGUAAUAUAUUAAUAAUAUAUUAAAUUUAAAGUCAAAAUUAGCCAACGGAGUCUAAACGAGAGUUUUAGAGCAUAGUCUCACCUACGCGUGCAUAUAAAUAACGUCGAAAAUGGAGUUCGUAUAUGAAAGUUAUGAAUUUCUGAAGUUCGGGGCGCGAAACCCCAAAACUAUCAGCCACCACGACGUGGUAAAAGUGCCACGACGUGGCACGUGCUCUAGAGUCUGUCAGACCCACUUGCAAUGACAAACGCAGUGACGACCAUCCACCACGACGUGGUAAACCGUACCACGACGUGGCAAAGGCUAAUUUUGCCCUAUAAAUAGAUUUGAAAGGCUAGCCGAGUUAGGUUGCUCAAAUUCUCUCCUCUCACUCAUAUUACCUCGAUUUACGUGCAAAGAAGUACCCCCGAAGCCCCGAUAUCAUCCCGAGACCCGAAGCAAGUCCCGAAGCUCGAAGAUCCCGCGAAGAAAAGAGUUUCCGAGCCGAAGCUCUGCCCAUAAGAAGCUCGGUGUGUGAAGAUAUUCCUGUUUCACCGGAGAAUACUACUCUUAGAGCUGUAGUGUUGUCCGAUCAUCUUCUGAUCAAGUGAGUGUAUAGUCCCUUUCAUAAACACGAUUUUNGUGUUAUGUGUAUAUUUUGUUGUUAUAUGUGUGAAUGUAUAUUCACUUUCUUCUAUCUCAUAGAUAUGAUUUAUUCUCUAUGAAAUACGUGUUAUGUGUAUGUGUCUCAUCUGUUGUUUGGAAUAUGUAUUGAAUGAGAAUGCUAUACAGGUUUUAAACUAUGUAUAAAAAUAUAUAUUUUUAUCUACUAAUAUGUUGGGUAGAACAUGGGUAGAUAGUUGAUGUGUGAUAAACAGAUGAGAGGCCUCGAUGUUGUUGUUGUUGAUCUAGUUAUUCAGCGGAGUAUGGAUAACGACCACAGACUCUUUCUAGACAGUCCUGUGGAACGCUAGCAGGCUCAUAACCUGUAAGUGUUGUGAACGAUGUGUUCACCAGUGUACUCUAUCCCCCUCAUGGUUGCCUUUAGGACAUCUACUGUUGAGGAAACCCCUUUGCAGUAAUGUCCGUCCCGAUGAAAAUCCUAGAUUAGGUCCCUUGAGAUAGAUGUUGUUUUAGGGACGUAAAGUGAGGAUAACGGGAAUGGGUAAUCGAGUUAUUGUUGGUUGGUGAAAUUAAAUAUAAUUAUUUAUUGUGGGUUGAAAACCCUAUAUGCUCACCAGGCUCCCAAGCCUGACCCACUCAGUUUUGUUGUAUUACAGGUAGUGGUGCGAGAGCAUAAGUUGGAUGACUUAUCAAGAUCUUUUGAUAUUAGACCAGUUGUUAUAUGUAACUAUUGUAUGGUCUAUCUUUUGUUGUUUAUGCUUUUGGUUUGUUUAUAGGAACAUGACAUCCCGAGUAUUGUUAUAUAAUGAAAAUGCAUAUCUUGAUGAAAUGAUUUGAUAAACUUUAUUUUAUCAUAUUUUGUUUUGGGAACAAAUUCCGCAACUCUUUUAAAUCAAUGGAUUUACUCUGAAAUUAUUUUAAAAGCAUAAAUUAAAACGGUCUUUUCUGGUCGUGAUUUUUGGGGAUGUCACAUUUAUAGACUUAAUUUAUUUUUCUUCUUCGUACCCUGGUUUGCGUCCCUCUCACUGCAUAUGUGAUAAUUGCAACAAUCGUCACCGACCACCGAUUGUAAAAGAACUCGGAAAAUGAUAAGUAUCUAAGCACAAGACUUAGAGUCUCAAUAUAUAAGAGAAAAUCGUCCAAAUUAUGUGUAAAUCGCAUAAUCCCGUGCGCUAAAAGUUGCGUUAAUUAGUGUGAAAAAAUAACAUAUUAGGAAAGUAUGUUAUAAGACGAUUUCAAGGAUGUAAAUUUCGAAAAAAUCUAACUUUGAUUGAGAUUUUUGUAGGAAAUAAAAUCAAGCGCGUACAUAAAUUUUUGUAGGAAAUAAAAUCAAGCGCGUACAUAAAUUUUUGUAGGAAAUAAAAUCAUGCGCGUAUGUUAUAAUGAGUUAAGAUUUUUUUAGGAAAUAAAAUCAAGCGCGUACAUAAAUUUUACAACGUCAAAAUAAUACUAAGACAUUGGUUAAAUUUUGGCUAAUGUCAUCAAAAGGAAAGUCGUAAUAUUUCUCAAGUGGAGAACAAUAGUACAACAAACGCUGAAAACGGAGAAGAAUAUAAGAUUUUUACCUCGUUAGGCAAAAAGGUGAAAGUCAAAAUUAGCUUAAACAACCCAAAGGUAAGUUGUAGUACUAAUUGAGACCAUUUUGUAGAUAUAAAGAAUGUAAAGAUUAGAACUUGUGUAACACCCCAAUUCUGGUAUGAUAUUUAUAUUUAUUAUUUUUCAAGCUUCUGAAGGGACCCGACAAGUCGGUAGCCAGACUCAUCGAGUUGGGUCGGGAUUUCGAGCACGUUUAAGUUGGCGACUCGACGAGUCCAUAUUCCGGAAUCGGCGAGUCCGCCAGUCUGGAUGAAACCCUAAAUUCAAGGGUUUGCACCCUAUUUAAACAACUUUUGGGGCCUCAAGUCAGCCCCCAUCACCCCUCAGAGCACCAUCCUCAAAACCCUAGAACCCUCUUAGCAUUUUGUGUGAUUUGGUGUGUUUCUUUGAAGAUUUUGAGAGAAGAAGGAAGGUAGACCAAGAGGAAAAGAAGGAGAUCCUAGAUCCUUAUGGAAUUACAGAGUUUAGUAAGGUAUAUCUUGGCUCUUUUCUGUUUCCAUGCUUAAAUCCCCUUUUUAAAGACAUUAAAGCUAUUCUUGAACCAUUUCUUGGUUUGGUAGUAGCAUAGAGGACUCAUUGAGAUGUUUAGCCUUUGGAUCUAGCUAGGUUUGAGUUCCAGAAGCUUAGAUCUAGUACCUUUAUGGAGCCAUUUUGCAUGAAAGCUCUAGAUCUACUCUUAUAGUGUGCUUUGAACCCUAAAACCUUAAUUUGAUGUUAUUUACACGUAAAGUUGGA